rnacentral:rRNA from 1 species
AGCAGCAGCCGCGGUAAUACGAAGGGGGCUAGCGUUGCUCGGAAUGACUGGGCGUAAAGGACGCGUAGGCGGCGGCCAAAGUCAGGCGUGAAAUUCCCGGGCUCAACCUGGGGGCUGCGUUUGAUACUUGGUUGCUUGAGUGGGGAAGAGGGUCGUGGAAUUCCCAGUGUAGAGGUGAAAUUCGUAGAUAUUGGGAAGAACACCGGUGGCGAAGGCGGCGACCUGGUCCUUUACUGACGCUGAGGCGCGAAAGCGUGGGGAGCAAACAGGAUUAGAUACCCCAGUAGUCCCUGUCUCUUAUAA